GUCUCGCUCGACAGCACUGACGUUACUGGAAGUGAGAAGAGGUUUUUCUCAGGAACUAAGAAUCCAGUAAAUCUUGUGUCAUGUAGUCACUCAUCUGGAGAACCGCUAAUGGCAGGAUUUAAUAUGAUCAGAGGAGCCUGGACUUCAUUGCUUGGGAUGAGACUCACACAGAGCUCUGCCUCUCUGACGGGGAAGAAGAAAAGUUGCUGGGAUUUUUGACUCUCUUUACUCCCCCCAGCUGCAGCUCCAGUUACAUUCUUCAUCCAGGCUCCUUUUCACCUCGAGGCCUAUGAAGCCUGAAGCCCCUUCACAAUAUACCCACAAUGCA